UUUGUUCCUACCCAUCAAAUGGCAAAUGUAAACCAAGGGACAAUUUAUCUAAUUCAUGCAUGACAUUUUCAAUUCAACCAGUGGCAUUAUGCAACUCCACUGUUAAGGAAAGAUAUAAUACAGCUUUGAGCCAUUUGCAGCCUUUGGCAUCUAUCUUGUCUGAAUUUACACCAAGUUCAACAGCACCAUUCUGAAGAUGAUGUCAUUUCAGAAAAUAAUUUUGAGACUAAUGUUGAAAUAUUUCCUGAAUGUUCUUCUGCAACAUUAGAAUGUGUUUUGCCUGUAUCACCUCAAGUUUCUCUACAAACAAACUCUGUAGCUACAUCAAACGUUUCCCCAACAAUCACAUGUGAGACUCUUCAUGUUGAAAGAUUGCAGACAAAUGUUGAAAUAUUUCCUGAAAGUUCUUUAUCUGCAACAUUGGAAUGUGUUUUGCCUGUCUCACCUCAAAUUUCUAUACAAACAAACUCUGAAACUACAUCAAAAAAUUUUCCAACAAUCACUUGUGAGACUCUUCCUGUUGAAAAAAGGUAUACUACUCGAAUUUUAGAAGACAUUGACAUUGUAUUACGUAAGCCACAGCGCUUUCCCCCAGGUCGACCAGCUGUAAAAAAACAGAGACUUUUUUACAACGUUACAAAACCCCUUGAGAAACUUGGCGUUUAUGAAAAAGAUUUUAUUCGUUUAACUUGGUUCGUCAAAGAUUCCAUUGCGCAGAAUUCAUUACAAAGUGGUAGUAAAAUCUCAAUUAAUGAUCUUUCUUCUACUGUACCUUAUAUCAUUAAUGAUAAAAGCUAACUUACAUGAACUUGAACAAUAUUUUGAUGAGUCUGCUUGGGCAGAGAUUGUAGUAAGAUGUAAGAGCACUUCAUCCGAUAGUUGGCCAUGUUAUUAUUGUCAACAAAUUCAAUCAGCCAAUAAACUUCAAAAGUGGAUUCAGUGCUAUCACUGUUUAUAUUGGUAUCAUUACUAUUGUGUUGGUAUUUCAAGAAAACCUAAAGGUCACUGGUUUUGUAUGAAUUGCAAAACCUAAUUGAAAAGAUUAUAAUACUAUAUAUUCAUAUAUGUAUAUAUAUAUACAUGUGUGUUUAUAUAUGUAAUAAUAGUUUAACAUAAUAGCGUGUAUAUAACUUAACUAUAAGUAGAUACUAAUUACAA